GUGAGGAGGCACCGCUUCUCUCGAAGUUAUGGGGCUAUUUUGCCGAGUUCCUUAGAGAGAGUUGUUUCGCGUCCCUAGGUAUUCUCUACCUACCCACUUGUGUUGGUUUCGGGUACAAGUACCUUUUUGUUGAAGGUCGUUCGAGUUUUUCUACUUGGGUCAUCCAAAAUAAAGAUUUUGAGUUGCUCCAACAAACUGAUUUUGAGGGAAAAAGAAUAUUAAAUUUUGUUCUUAACCAGCUUCUGUCAUAACUCAAUCUCAAUAAUCCAAGUCGGGUAAAUUCUUUUCCAAGUUUUAGAUAAUGUUUAUGGUUACAAGGAAACAGGAUAGCAAACUAAUUUAGAAUCACGCUUUUAAUUGCGCUCGUGAACUGCUCGAUUCAAUUCCCAGGAAGCUUGGUAGAAAAUGCCUUCCUCUUGCUCUUAAAGAGGUUAGAAGAAAAAAUAAAUCUAACCCUAAACAUAAAAAACCAUGGGACAGUCUUUUUCUUUCUGCUAAUGGUUUAGUCUUCUACCAUGGGAUUAUAGUUUUUUAGUUAGUUGAGAUUAAAUAAAGCUAACUACCAUGGGACAUUUCUUCCAAGUCUAGCUCCUAAUAGCAUUGGUGGAUAUCAGACUGUUCUUGGUUUUGGUCAGGGCCUUCAAAGGCUGAUCAUUGGAGCACUUCCCCCAACAUACAUUUCCAUUUCUGAUGCAAUUCAAACUGGUGCGUUUAUUUACUAUUUAGACGUGGUUGGUUUCUGCUGGACCUAAGCUUAGGUUGUUUGUCCUUGCCGAGUUUGUUGAUGCAUGGUUAUGGACAGUUGAAGUGCAGCUUGAGAUAGAUCUUGUUAAACAAAUAAUCAUUCAUAGAAUAUGGCUUGAGAUAGAAUAUCAUUUUUUUUUUUUUGUUAUUAUGGAUGCAUCUUGGGUGCUGUGCAUAAUUUUUGGGUAGUUCACUUUUCUAGUCCUAGUGCCAUUAUGUUAUUGGGUAUCUUGCUCCAUGAUUCCUUAUUGGGAUAUGAUAAAUUGAUCCUUAAUUUUGAAUUUUUCGUUGGUUCACUAGAUAGUUCGACACAACAAUGUUGAGCAACUCUUGCUCUUUGGCCUUGCUACAAGUGUUCACUAACCCUCCAUGGAACUUUUCACGUCAUCAUGUAGCAACCAUGUGAUUUGUGCACCAUGUCCCAAGAAAUAAAGGUUGAUGGACUAUCAAAACAUGUAAUAUAUUAGACCACAUGUGAAGGAAAAGAUAAGGUAGGCCAAAAUAGCAAAGGAAAUAAAUGGCUAUCUAUAGCAUUCAAGUGGACAAAAAGCAAAACCAAGACAAGGUUGUAUUGCUUGUGUUGAAGCCUUUUAGAUCUCAAUGUCAAUUUCACUUCAAGAGAAAACUUCAUCACCAAAUUCUCUCCCAUUGUUUGGCUCAAUUUCUCAUGAUCCGAAUUUCACUUCAUCCAACUCGACAACUCAAAGCCCUUUAUCCACAAUCUCAAUCCAGUUUGACUCAAAGAUGGAAGCUCAGUUCUAUGAUGACAUAAUUCUGAACGCUUAUAAAUUUUGUAUUUUGUGAACUUAUAUAGUUGCAAAUUAUAUUUGGUGUACUUUUAUUGUUAGAUAAUUUCAUUAUUUUAUAAUGUACCAAUGGAUUGCAAAUUUUUAUUAUUAUUGCUAUUGUACACCCCAUUAGUUUUAGGUCAAGUGAGAGAUUGUUGGGGUUGAUACCCUAAAUCUCGUAGGGUCCUAUAGUUUGUAAAUAUUGU